GAAGCAGUGAAGGAGUGCAGAGGCAUCACCUGAAAAGGAUCACUGAGAUUCUGAUGAACAGACCUUCUGCCCGCAAUGCCUUGGGGAAUGUCUUCGUCAGUGAGGUAAGAAAGGGCGGGCGCCAGGGUGGGCUGGGGAUGGGCUGGCACUAUCUAACUGGGUGUCCUCUGUAGCUGCUGGAAACUCUGGCCCAGCUGCGGGAGGACCAGCAAGUGCGUGUCUUGCUCUUCAGAAGUGGAGUGAAGGGCGUGUUCUGUGCAGGUGCAGACCUGAAGGAGCGGGAACAGAUGAGUGAAGCAGAGGUGGGGGUUUUUGUCCAGCGACUCCGGGGCCUGAUGAAUGACAUCGCAGCCUUCCCUGCACCCACCAUUGCGGCUAUGGAUGGGUUUGCCUUGGGCGGAGGCCUAGAGCUUGCCCUGGCCUGUGACCUCCGAGUGGCAGCUUCCUCGGCCAUCGUGGGACUGAUUGAGACCACGCGAGGGCUCCUCCCGGGGGCAGGAGGGACUCAGAGGCUGCCCCGUUGUCUGGGGGUGGCCCUGGCGAAAGAGCUCAUCUUCACGGGCCGACGACUGAGUGGAACAGAGGCCCACGCACUGGGGCUGGUGAAUCACGCUGUGGCCCAGAACGAGGAGGGGGACGCCGCCUACCAGCGGGCACGAGCACUGGCCCAGGAGAUCCUGCCCCAGGCCCCCAUUGCUGUGCGGCUGGGCAAAGUAGCCAUUGACCGAGGAAUAGAGGUGGACAUUGUAUCCGGGAUGGCCAUUGAAGGGAUGUGCUAUGCCCAGAACAUUCCAACCCGGGACCGGCUAGAGGGCAUGGCAGCCUUCAGGGAGAA
rnacentral:sRNA from 1 species